AAAGUACUCCCUUCGUCCCAAAAUUCUUGUCUUAGAUUUGUCUAGAUACGGAUGUAUCAAGUCACAUUUUAGUAUUAGAUACAUCCGUAUCUAGACAAAUCUAAGACAAGAAAUUUGGGACA
rnacentral:pre_miRNA from 1 species